rnacentral:rRNA from 1 species
CGUAACAAGGUCUCCGUUGGUGAACCAGCGGAGGGAUCAUUACCGAGUUUACAACUCCCAAACCCCUGUGAACAUACCACUUGUUGCCUCGGCGGAUCAGCCCGCUCCCGGUAAAACGGGACGGCCCGCCAGAGGACCCCUAAACUCUGUUUCUAUAUGUAACUUCUGAGUAAAACCAUAAAUAAAUCAAAACUUUCAACAACGGAUCUCUUGGUUCUGGCAUCGAUGAAGAACGCAGCAAAAUGCGAUAAGUAAUGUGAAUUGCAGAAUUCAGUGAAUCAUCGAAUCUUUGAACGCACAUUGCGCCCGCCAGUAUUCUGGCGGGCAUGCCUGUUCGAGCGUCAUUUCAACCCUCAAGCACAGCUUGGUGUUGGGACUCGCGUUAAUUCGCGUUCCCCAAAUUGAUUGGCGGUCACGUCGAGCUUCCAUAGCGUAGUAGUAAAACCCUCGUUACUGGUAAUCGUCGCGGCCACGCCGUUAAACCCCAACUUCUGAAUGUUGACCUCGGAUCAGGUAGGAAUACCCGCUGAACUUAAGCAUAUCAAUAAGCGGAGG